UUGAUACAUUCACCUCUGAAGGAACUGGUGCCUACAGUUUGACCCCACUGCUGUCUCUGGAUCCACACGCACCUCGCCCGGCCAUCUAGAUGUGUGAAAGUAAGCUACUUCCAAAAGACCCACAAGCCUGUGAAGUUCUCUACCCUAGAAGAUCCCUAGAAUUACCUUAGAAUCCAGUCUACAUUCUUGUGAAUCAUGAAGUCCUUGGCUCUAGCUUUAAUCCUGUGUGUGCUGCUUCCACUGUUCCAUGCUUAUUGCUACAUGAAGCCUAUGACCUCGAAGCCAGGCAUGAUUACCCAUUGUCGUGAUGACAAGGAUGAGACAUGGCAUCCUAUUGGUUCCCGCUGGAGGAACAGUGAUUGCAUGGACUGCACUUGUAAUUCAUGCUGCUCACGGUAUGCAACUCCCGUAGAUUUUCCUGGUGAUUGCAUGAAGGAGUGGGACCAAAAGGCAUGUGAAUUCAAGGUGGUUAAGAAGAGUGAUCCCUCAAUUUCAUGCCCUAUCUUCAGCUCUGUGGGGAAGUGAAUUGUUUUCUUCACUGUGUUCUCAAUAUACAAUGAAUAAAAUACGUUAUACAAUGAAUAAAAUAUGUUGUCAGCUUA